GAGUUUGAUCAUGGCUCAGGAAAAACGCAAGAGACGUGCCUAACACAUGCAAAUUUAAUAGUUAUUAUUUAACUAUAGUGAAUUGGUGAGUAAUAUAUGGAAAUUUAAUUUUAGAUUAGAAGUAUUCCUAAUAACUUAGGGUUAAUCUCUGAUAAGCGCAUUUGUGCUUUAAAAAGUUAAAACUGUCUAUAAAAAAGUUCAUAUCUGAUUAGCUAGUUAGUAAGAUAAUAGCUUACUAAGGCGAAGAUCAGUAGCUGCCCUGAGAGGGGGACCAGCCACAUUGGGAUUGAAAUACAGCCCAAACUCCUACGGGAGGCUGCAGUGGGGAAUCUUCUGCAAUGAGCGCAAGCUUGACAGAGCAUCGUCACGUGAAGGAAGACAGCUUAUUAUAGUUGUAAACUUCUUUUGCUUAAACGUAAAAACUGACACUUAAGUAAAUAAAGUAAUCGGCAAACUCCGUGCCAGCAGCCGCAGUAAU
rnacentral:rRNA from 1 species